rnacentral:rRNA from 1 species
GACGAACGCUGGCGGCGUGCUUAACACAUGCAAGUCGAACGGAGUGGCGAACGGGUGAGUAACACGUGGGUGAACUGCCUUGCACUUCGGGAUAAGCUUGGGAAACUGGGUCUAAUACCGGAUAGUGCAAGAUGAGCUCGCGGCUUAUCAGCUUGUUGGUGGGGUUAUUGCCUACCAAGGCGUCGACGGGUAGCCGGCCUGAGAGGGUGUACGGCCACAUUGGGCCUGAGAUACGGCCCAGUCGCGUACGGGAGGCAGCAGUUGGGAAUAGUGCACAAUGGGCGGAAGCCUGAUGCAGCGACGCCGCGUGGGGGAUGUAGGCCUUCGGGUUGUAAACUCCUUUCGGCAGGGACGCGGUACCUGUAUAAGAAGCACCGGCUAACUACGUGCCAGCAGCCGCGGUAAUAC